AUUCGUUCACCCUAUAUUGGGCGCAGUCCGAGCUAUACCAUGGAACGGGGGAUAGC
rnacentral:ncRNA from 2 species